UAGAGUUUGAUCAUGGCUCAGAUUGAACGCUGGCGGCAGGCCUAACACAUGCAAGUCGAACGGUAACAGGAAGCAGCUUGCUGCUUCGCUGACGAGUGGCGGACGGGUGAGUAAUGUCUGGGAAACUGCCCGGUGGAGGGGGAUAACUACUGGAAACGGUAGCUAAUACCGCAUAACGUCGCAAGACCAAAGAGGGGGACCUUCGGGCCUCUUGCCACCGGAUGUGCCCAGAUGGGAUUAGCUUGUUGGUGAGGUAACGGCUCACCAAGGCGACGAUCCCUAGCUGGUCUGAGAGGAUGACCAGCCACACUGGAACUGAGACACGGUCCAGACUCCUACGGGAGGCAGCAGUGGGGAAUAUUGCACAAUGGGCGCAAGCCUGAUGCAGCCAUGCCGCGUGUAUGAAGAAGGCCUUCGGGUUGUAAAGUACUUUUCAGCGGGGAGGAAGGGAUUGUGGUUAAUAACCGCAGUCAUUGACGUUACCCGCAGAAGAAGCACCGGCUAACUCCGUGCCAGCAGCCGCGGUAAUACGGAGGGUGCAAGCGUUAAUCGGAAUUACUGGGCGUAAAGCGCACGCAGGCGGUCUGUCAAGUCGGAUGUGAAAUCCCCGGGCUCAACCUGGGAACUGCAUUCGAAACUGGCAGGCUUGAGUCUCGUAGAGGGGGGUGGAAUUCCAGGUGUAGCGGUGAAAUGCGUAGAGAUCUGGAGGAAUACCGGUGGCGAAGGCGGCCCCCUGGACGAAGACUGACGCUCAGGUGCGAAAGCGUGGGGAGCAAACAGGAUUAGAUACCCUGGUAGUCCACGCCGUAAACGAUGUCUACUUGGAGGUUGUGCCCUUGAGGCGUGGCUUCCGGAGCUAACGCGUUAAGUAGACCGCCUGGGGAGUACGGCCGCAAGGUUAAAACUCAAAUGAAUUGACGGGGGCCCGCACAAGCGGUGGAGCAUGUGGUUUAAUUCGAUGCAACGCGAAGAACCUUACCUGGUCUUGACAUCCACGGAAGACUGCAGAGAUGCGGUUGUGCCUUCGGGAGCCGUGAGACAGGUGCUGCAUGGCUGUCGUCAGCUCGUGUUGUGAAAUGUUGGGUUAAGUCCCGCAACGAGCGCAACCCUUAUCCUUUGUUGCCAGCGGUUAGGCCGGGAACUCAAAGGAGACUGCCAGUGAUAAACUGGAGGAAGGUGGGGAUGACGUCAAGUCAUCAUGGCCCUUACGACCAGGGCUACACACGUGCUACAAUGGCAUAUACAAAGAGAAGCGACCUCGCGAGAGCAAGCGGACCUCAUAAAGUAUGUCGUAGUCCGGAUUGGAGUCUGCAACUCGACUCCAUGAAGUCGGAAUCGCUAGUAAUCGUGGAUCAGAAUGCCACGGUGAAUACGUUCCCGGGCCUUGUACACACCGCCCGUCACACCAUGGGAGUGGGUUGCAAAAGAAGUAGGUAGCUUAACCUCCGGGAGGGCGCUUACCACUUUGUGAUUCAUGACUGGGGUGAAGUCGUAACAAGGUAACCGUAA
rnacentral:rRNA from 1 species